AGACGUAUUUUACAACUUUAUGCACCAAAGUAACCGCCGCACGCAAGUUCUAAGACCUCUGGUGUAUUUACCUCCUUUAGAAACAUCCUCUCCCCCCUUCUGCCUUUUUUCUAUUACACCCGAGCAAAGAGCAAGCUCUCAAAAAUAAAAACGAAAACACCCGAGCAAGGAGCAAUGACACAAGCACUUCUCUCGAACAGAAAAGAAAAAGGCCGAGAACAGGAGCUAGGGUUUGAAUCACCAUCUCUCCGGCCUACCCGCCGGUGCUCCGGUCACGCCUCUGCUCCUCUUCCCCCCUCUUCUCUUGCCCCCUUAUCCUCCACCCUAUUUUUCGACUGUUAGGCGCCACGAAGCCAGCCAUCACUCCAGGACCUCGUCUUCGUCUGCAUGGCGAGAAAAAAGGGCGACGGCGGAAAAUAUCUCCGGUUCCUUGGAGAUGUCGGCGAUAUCCCAGGCGAUCCGGGCCUGCGCGGUCGAGUCUGGGGCGUCGACGACGAGCCUGGUGUCCAUGGAUGCGAUGAGGGCGGGAGGGGCGUGGGCCAAGGGGCCACCCGCGGCGGAGCGCGGUGCCGGGCGCGGCGGCAAGGGGGGCCGUGGAGGACGGGGCGCGCGUGCAGUCGGUGUUCAUCAGCUGCCCCGGGGUGGGCAAGGCCACCUAUGCCAGCUGCCUUUUGCGGCUCCACGGCAUGGCCCACAUCACCACUGGCGCUCUCAUCCAAAGGGCCCCCUCCAAGCGCGCCGCCACCAUCUGCCCCGCCUACCGCGCGCCGCCGGCCAACCCCCCACCGUUGAGCGCCGCCACCGCCUACCCUCCUCCCAUCGGGAUCCCCUUGGAUCCAAAAAUCCAUCCACCCAGUCCUCGCCGCGAUUUCCAAAUUGAACCUACCGUCAUCCGGCGUACUGGCAGGGUGUGGGGAGAGAUCCAGAUGGCGACGCCGGACUAGAGGUCGGAGGCAGCGAGGUCCGACAGAGAAGGGCGAGGUGCGGCAGAGGAGGCGACGGGUGGGCUGAUGUUAGCGACAAAUAGCGGCUGGGUCGGGCACUCAGUGAGGCAGAUGCACGGGGGCAUAGCUGCGCAGGGAAGCUGCAACCGCCGAGAAAACCCGUCAGCACGCCAAUGGCCGCGGGCCACAGAUGCGGCGGCCUUGACAUCUCAUGGAUGACGCACAUCGGCGUGCUGCUUGAGCGUGAGGGCAAGGAAAGCAUCGAGCAGGCGGUCAUCCGGCAGGCGGCGUCACAGAGCCUCGUGGAGCAUGCAGAGGAGGAGAUCCAUCUCAAACCCUUACCAUGAGUAGACUGCCGAAAUUCUUCAUAGAGGCCUCCACUGACUGACAGAGGUAUGCCAUCUCUCUGCUCUGCAUCCCUAAACUGAAAUAUCUGCAGAUUUAGCAAAUGUUUGUCUCGAGGUCUGCAUGAGACCAUGAGCCUUUACAGUUCCAGAGCUUAAUUGUUUUUGCUCUAUGGACAUUGCAAGAUGCCGAGGCCUUAUACUUAGGAAGCAAUUUAAGACAGUCCCACACCAUUCUGCUUUGCACAGGCAGGUGAUUUUGAUAAUAUAGUUCCCAUGUGAGUUUCAUUUAAGGUUGUUCAAUUUGGCACUCAUUUUGGAUAUGAAGGUGAAUAACUCCUAGGCGUCAAGAAUCCUUAGGUUUGCACACCAUACGCCAUGCUGGAAAGGAAGGAUUAUGCUUUGUCAAGUCUCCCCCUCUUCAUAAUCAUUGCCUUCUUUGUUUGUCAAUUUUCUCAUUGAUUUAUUUUUAUACCAUAAGGGAACAUAGAUGAGAAGUAGAGAAUGAGGUCAUGGCUGUAUAUACCAUCUGUAGUUUUUCUUAUGUGGCGUAGAAACCGAGCAUAGCUCUGAACCGUAAGCUGGCUCAACACUCUAUCUUCCAUGUUUCAGGGUAUCAUUAGUUUAAUGCCAGGCUAAGGCUUUUUUCCAAAAAUAAUUCAAGGAAAACCAAUGCCAAAGGUCAUGCGUCCUCGUGGACCUAGGUCCACCUAAACAUAACUUAAUGGGACAAGGUUCAGAUUAAAUAAUUUUAGAAAGUUUCACACUUGAUGCAAAAUAUUAUAGUUUAGUGUUCACGUUGGACCAAGAUUUAAUAGUAGAGAUUGCUUGGAUUAAGUGGGGGUGAAGAUGUUCUUGCUGUCUAUAUCUGGAAUAAAAACCUGAUGAAGAUCCUUCCGAGGCGUUUCAAAUGUGCCUCUUCUCGCACUGAAUAGGGCCAUCAACGGAGCAGUCAAAGAAGCAACACUGCAGUAGCAAAAACAAUGAUACGUGGCACUCUCCCAGUGUCCGCGCCCAGUAUAAUGUCAAAAUAGUAGUUGCUUCUUGUUCUUCAGAAAGUAAAUUUAAACAUCUGUUGUAAGAUUCCAGUACAAGCAAGAUUUUUAUGUGAGAUAGUAGCCGUGUUAUAUUUACAAAAUAAGGUUCUUUACUCCUAAGUCUAAUGUUUUGUGCCUCACGUCUGAAUUCAGGUCAAGGCAACCGCUGCUAGCUGCUCUGCCACAAGUACGAAAACAAACGUAGUUCUUUGCCUAAAAGGUGAAAACAAUUGUACUAAGCACCAACACAAUCACGUUUAGGUAGGGGUGAAGCCAGUUUGAUUAGUGUGGUAUUGCCGAAAACAAUAGUACCAAGCACUAACACAAUCACCUGAGUAUAUCACAUGGGUAUAGCACUGAUUACUAUUUGAUUACCAUUAUACAGAUUUUGAAGGUAAGACAUUCAAAGUCGGGCUGUAAACGCGCUGGGGUUGUUUCUUAUCAUCAAUGGGGACUACAUGUUUUGAACGGACCAUUUUUAUACCAUAUCUAAUAGUUCUGAUAACAAAUAGACACUGCUUUACUUUUAAUUUUUUUGUAUGGGUGUGUCGUUUUAUUAAUUUAGGAAAUUGGAAGUGAUAUGUUGGUUUUACAGUUGUGACACAGUUAAAGUUGUACUUGCUAAUGAUACCAGGUGGCAUUUUGAGAAUGUGUCAUUUUCUUGAAAUAAUCACCAUUGUUUUCUCACUUUGUCUUUAUCUUAAAAGAUGGAGCACAUAUUGGCAUACACUAGAACAUUGUAACAGGCUUGACGAUCAAAACAUCUGUUGUCGGCUUGUUCAUCUUGUAUUUGCUAAAACCAGAUGCACAUUGAGUUUAUAUAAAAAGAAUUGUACCCCAAUCUGCUUCUCCUGUUCAUUGUAUCCACAGAUUUUGUAAAUCAGCGUAUCGUAUGCUUCUCAUGUCCAGAUUCAGUGGUUCACUUCAUUUUUGCCAGGUGUGUAUAGCUGACUGCUAUUUGAUUGCCCCGUUGACAUGAUAGAUGAGGCAAGGGCCAAGGAGAGGAGAACUGAGGACCAGAAAGCAUAGGAACAGAUUUUGCUGCAUUAGCCAAGGAUAAAAAAAGAAAAGAGGGGAAAAGAAGCGGAGGAUAAAGAUUUGGCCAAUGAUCCGAUAUGUCUUCACUUCAAGGGUAACCUUGUACUUAGUCCUAAGAUCGUAGGUUGAUGUUUGGAUUGAGAAUUAUUGCCUGGUUAAGGCAACUGCUAAUUAGAAUAUGAAUAUAAAGGUUUUAAAAUCAAAAUUGUGUAUAAACACUUUAGAAUUUGAUAUAGUAGUAAAUGCAAAGUUGUAGAGCAUCUGAAGGAGGCUAUAGUUUGUACUCCCCCCGUCUCACAAUGUAAGACUUUUUUGCAAACAAGGCAGUAGACAGUAGUACUGAAUGUUGAUUUCUCUUUACAUAAAUGUAAGUGCAUGAUUAGUUUUGAGAAAUAGUUUUAUGCAUUAUUUUGAUA